GUCAUAAACCUAAACUGCCCCUAGCCCUACCAGCAGUUCGCCAGAAAAUUACAUGCGAAAAGCCUAAAACUCAAAGGACUUGACGGUGUUCCAUACAACCUAGAGGAGCCUGUCCCACAAUCGAUACCCCACGUUAAACCUCACCCCUUCUUGCAUACCAGCCUAUAUACCGCCGUCGUCAGCCUGUCUUAUGAAAGUGCCACCACAGGCAAAAAAACCCCACCAUUAAAACGUCAGGUCAAGGUGUAGCUUACGAAGGGGGCUGGAGAUGGGCUACAUUGUCUAAACACAGACCACACCCCCCCGCCAUGAAACUUGGCACCAAAAGGCGGAUUUAGCAGUAAACCAGACAAGAUAUGCCUG
rnacentral:rRNA from 1 species